UACUACAGAGUGAUAGACCGUUUUGUCAACAUGAAAGGAGAAUGGCAUUUGCGUUUCUCUACAAGUCGGUCUAUGAAGGUUUGUCAUCUGAUUUCCCGGAGCCUGGUGGCGAUGGAUGCAACCAUACAAUUUAGGACAUUCCCCUACAUCCAGGUUGAGGCCUGCUACCAGCAAGAACAUGGAGCACGCCAUGUCAGUUCACCAGCUGACCUCUAUCAAGACACCGAUGUCGACUGAAUUUCCACUGUGAAGAUGAGCAAUGCUGCAUCAGUUUCUACUUCUACUUCGUCCUUUUCCAGAUAUGAUAGCAGACAUAUGAGAUUGUUGUCAUUUUACUUUGGACUAUCUGAAUGAAUGAUUCUGCUGUUUGAGUAGAGCGCACCUUCACCUUGUCGUCAUGACAAAAGAUGCACCCUUAAACCAUAUGAAUAUAUAAAAUCUAAUUUGGAAUGUGUAAAAUAAUAUUGUAAACAUUCUGUACUUUAAUAGUAGGCUACAUUGUUAUGGGUGAAAUAAAGUAUACUGAACAUAAAUAUAAACGCAACAAUUUUAAAUAUUUUA